rnacentral:miRNA from 1 species
CGUCAAAGCGGUGGGUGAUUUAUC